rnacentral:rRNA from 1 species
CCUACGGGUGGCAGCAGUGGGGAAUAUUGCGCAAUGGGCGAAAGCCUGACGCAGCGACGCCGCGUGAGGGAUGAAGGCUUUCGGGUUGUAAACUUCUUUUCUCAGGGACGAAGCAAGUGACGGUACCUGAGGAAUAAGCCACGGCUAACUACGUGCCAGCAGCCGCGGUAAUACGUAGGUGGCAAGCGUUAUCCGGAUUUACUGGGUGUAAAGGGCGUGUAGGCGGGGACGCAAGUCAGAUGUGAAAACCACGGGCUCAACCUGUGGCCUGCAUUUGAAACUGUGUUUCUUGAGUACUGGAGAGGCAGACGGAAUUCCUAGUGUAGCGGUGAAAUGCGUAGAUAUUAGGAGGAACACCAGUGGCGAAGGCGGUCCGCUGGACAGCAACUGACGCUGAGGCGCGAAAGCGUGGGGAGCAAACAGGAUUAGAUACCCUUGUAGUC